GACGAACGCUGGCGGCGUGCUUAACACAUGCAAGUCGAACGGUAAGGCCCUUCGGAGUACACGAGUGGCGAACGGGUGAGUAACACGUGGGUGAUCUGCCCUGCACUUCGGGAUAAGCCUGGGAAACUGGGUCUAAUACCGGAUAGGACUCCGGACUGCAUGGUCUGGGGUGGAAAGCUUUUGCGGUGUGGGAUGGGCCCGCGGCCUACCAGCUUGUUGGUGGGGUGAUGGCCUCCCAAGGCGACGACGGGUAGCCGGCCUGAGAGGGUGACCGGCCACACUGGGACUGAGAUACGGCCCAGACUCCUACGGGAGGCAGCAGUGGGGAAUAUUGCACAAUGGGCGCAAGCCUGAUGCAGCGACGCCGCGUGAGGGAUGACGGCCUUCGGGUUGUAAACCUCUUUCAGCACCGACGAAGCGCAAGUGACGGUAGGUGCAGAAGAAGGACCGGCCAACUACGUGCCAGCAGCCGCGGUAA
rnacentral:rRNA from 1 species